CUCUUCAUCAAUUGUGAAAUAUUAGAAUGUGUGUCCACGUUUAAGAGUCCAGCCAAUUUUAUCACGAGGACUUCUGUAAAAGUUAUCAGGAGACCUGAGCUAUGAUCCUCACUGGUGUUCCCAGCCAGCUGGGCGACUUGAGCGUCCACUUUCCUCAUCUGUAAAGUAAGGACACUACGCUCACUGAGAAAGGAUCAAGCAAACCCGAUAUAGGGAGGGGAACUCAAUCAACUGGGUCUGUAGAGCAGUAAAUUUGCCCGAAAUGGGUUUCUCCAUUCUAUGGUCAAAUCAGUUUGCUAAGCCUGUUUAUGCCAGUUGUGCUCUCUCUCCCUCUCUUUUUUGUGAGGAAGAUUGGCCCUGAGCUAACAUCUGUUGCCAAUCUUCCUCAUUUUGCUUGAGGAAGAUUGUGGCUGAGCUAACGUCUGUGCUAAUCUUCCUCUAUUUUAUGUGGGGUGCUGCCACAGCAUGGCUUGAUGAGUGGUGCGUAGGUCUGUGCCCAGGAUCCAAAGCUGCGAACCCCAGACCGCUGAAGUGGAGUGUGUGAACUGAACCACUAUGCCACCCGGCCAGCCCCAGUUGCUCUCUUGUAUAACUUCUUAUCAUCCUUAAUAUUCUACUGUGCAUGUGGUAGGCAGACACCUAUUAAUAGCACCCGGAGCCAGGCUUCCACGGAAUACAGGGUGGGAAAUUUUGUUAUCAAGUACUCCAUAAAAAUGAUAAGCAGCUUUUAAAAUUGGUAAGUCUAACGUCUGGAUUUAUACAUGAGAAUU
rnacentral:lncRNA from 1 species